GAGCUGGGGAGGGGCCGAUGCGUCCUGCCGAUUCCCUUCGUCCUCCACCCAGGGUCCCCCUGCUGUCGGAUCUCGCUCUCAGCAACAUAGAGAGGAGCCUGAGAAGCACGAUCACCCAGAACCUGGGAGAGGUGAUGUGUCCUGUGAUUGACAGAGCUCUCUCCAGCCUGAAUUCGGAGGUGGUGAAUGAAAUAAUAUAUAAAAUUGUGCAGGCAAACCAUGAUCAAGACACCAACUAAAUAUCCGC